CUCCCUCCUCCUCAGCCCGCGCCCCCGGCUGACUCCUCCGCUGCCGGCAGCACCGCACGCUUUGCCCGAGGUCCUGCUCGGAGGCCCGACCACGCCGCGGCCACCUUGUGACCCGGCCGGAGCGAACGCGGAGCCGCGAAUGCCGGUCCCCCUGGGGUCGCCUGGCGGAGAGCCCUGGCCCCGCCGCCCCGCGAGGCCGCGGGGGGCCCUUGCCUCCGGUGCGCUGCCCACUGCGGCAGGAGUCGUUGUGGACUUGUCCCCUACCCCCUUCCCCAAGCCGCCGAAGCCCCGGCUUAACUCUUCACGUCGGAGGGCGGUUAUACAACGAGGAGGACGCCGCGGCCACCCCAGCUCCAGUGGGGAGCGGGGAGGACUUCCCUGAGGCGCGGACGCGGCCUUCCCGGGGCCCGCGGCCGCCUCUUCCCGCCUUCGAGAGCUGGGGCCCCGGGAAAGGACUCACCUGCUCCCCAGCCCUGCGGCACCUCCCGAUAAGCGGCUCUCCGCCCGCGCCGGCGCCGAGUCUGCCUCCCCCGCUCCUGUCGACUGUGGAACACGAGGGGCCAGUCCCUCCGGAGAGCCUUCCUCUGGCUCCUCUCUGGGUUAAAAACGGGCCUUUCCAUACAUUGUAAGCCUAGAAUAGAAACUCUGUUACCUGGACUGUCCUCCCUGCCCGGGUAUAGUGUUCGGCAGAGUCAAAUGUGUUUUGAUUUUAGCAGCAAUAAUGAACUAUUGAAACUGAGGUCCAAGGGCGUACAAUAUAUGCAAAUUAUAGGCAAGCCAGCCAGCCGUAAGGGUUAGUGUGGUGGCCAAUAAGAAGUCAUCUGUGGGUAUGGGCAUUUAAAUUGCAUGAAAAUGUAAAUAUUCAGUACCUUAAGUGCACUAGCCAUAUGCCCAAUGUGGCUGGCGACAUGGUAAAAUAGGGCAUUUCCAUCAUAGCAGAAAAUUCUUUUGGACAGCUCCUAGCCCGAAGAUUAUAGGGGUUAAGCCCAAAUCUGCAUUACUGUAGACUUAUGUAUUGGAGAGAGAUAGCCUGGAAGCAGACCCUGAAUUAUGCCUUGGAGUUUUGACCUAAGGCCCUUCAUGACCACGCUAGCGAGGCCGGAGCCCUUCAGGAACUAAAUAGAAUUUGGUUCUCUUUUCUUGAGUUUUGACUUCAGGUUUCCAACCAAGAGAAUUUAUUUAGAUAUCUGAGGAAGUUCUUCAUUUAAGAAGCAAUCAGAGCUCCAUACCUUUAUCAAACAGCAAGUCUCUAAAGAUCAAAAAUAAAUUGGUCCCUGCAGCAUAAUAGAUGCUAAAGUUUAUCUGGAAGAACAUAAACAGGAUAACUAAAAACAAAAGUUUU